CUUUAACUCUGGCGGCAUGCUUUACACAUGCAAGUCGAACGGCAGCGCGGGCUUCGGCCUGGCGGCGAGUGGCGAACGGGUGAGUAAUACAUCGGAACGUGCCCAGUAGUGGGGGAUAGCUCGGCGAAAGCCGGAUUAAUACCGCAUACGACCUGAGGGUGAAAGCGGGGGAUCUUCGGACCUCGCGCUAUUGGAGCGGCCGAUGGCAGAUUAGCUAGUUGGUGGGGUAAAGGCCUACCAAGGCGACGAUCGGUAGCUGGUCUGAGAGGACGACCAGCCACGCUGGGACUGAGCCACGGCCCAGACUCCUACGGGAGGCAGCAGUGGGGAAUUUUGGACAAUGGGCGAAAGCCUGAUCCAGCAAUGCCGCGUGUGUGAUGAAGGCCUUCGGGUUGUAAAGCACUUUUGGCGGGAACGAAAAGGACUGUGCCAAUACCACGGUUCGAUGACGGUACCCGCAGAAUAAGCACCGGCUAACUACGUG
rnacentral:rRNA from 1 species